rnacentral:rRNA from 1 species
UACGAAGGGGCUAGCGUUGCUCGGAAUCACUGGGCGUAAAGGGUGCGUAGGCGGGUCUUUAAGUCAGGGUGAAAUCCUGGAGCUCAACUCCAGACUGCCUUUGAUACUGAGGAUCUUGAGUUCGGGAGAGGUGAGUGGAACUGCGAGUGUAGAGGUGAAAUUCGUAGAUAUUCGCAAGAACACCAGUGGCGAAGGCGGCUCACUGGCCCGGUACUGACGCUGAGGUGCGAAAGCG